UACGUAGGGUGCGAGCGUUAAUCGGAAUUACUGGGCGUAAAGCGUGCGCAGGCGGUUAUAUAAGACAGAUGUGAAAUCCCCGGGCGUCAACCUGGGAACGUGCAUUUGUGACUGUAUAGCUAGAGUACGGUAGAGGGGGUGGGAAUUCCGCGUGUAGCAGUGAAAUGCGUAGAUAUGCGGAGGAACACCGAUGGCGAAGGCAAUCCCCUGGACCUGUACUGACGCUCAUGCACGAAAGCUGGGGAGCAAACCAGGAUUAGAAA
rnacentral:rRNA from 1 species